GGGUCCCCGCUGGCCGCCCCCCGUGAAUGACACGGGUGGGCCCGGCCUCCCCCGGCUCUGGUGACACCGCUAGGCAUUUCCUUUCCCCCGUCCCACUUUGUUCGGCUUGGAUGCUGCUGAAAGGGAGGGCUUGGCAGCGCCGGGAUCUGGAUUCCUCUUUCUAUGAAUAAUGCCCUUAUUAAAUUUUAACAUAUGAACCCAA